GACGAACGCUGGCGGCGUGCUUAACACAAGCCAGUCGAACGGAAAGGCCCUGCUUUUGUGGGGUGCUCGAGUGGCGAACGGGUGAGUAACACGUGAGUAACCUGCCCUUGACUUUGGGAUAACUUCAGGAAACUGGGGCUAAUACCGGAUAGGAGCUCCUGCUGCAUGGUGGGGGUUGGAAAGUUUCGGCGGUUGGGGAUGGACUCGCGGCUUAUCAGCUUGUUGGUGGGGUAGUGGCUUACCAAGGCUUUGACGGGUAGCCGGCCUGAGAGGGUGACCGGCCACAUUGGGACUGAGAUACGGCCCAGACUCCUACGGGAGGCAGCAGUGGGGAAUAUUGCACAAUGGGCGGAAGCCUGAUGCAGCAACGCCGCGUGCGGGAUGACGGCCUUCGGGUUGUAAACCGCUUUCGCCUGUGACGAAGCGUGAGUGACGGUAAUGGGUAAAGAAGCACCGGCUAACUACGUG
rnacentral:rRNA from 1 species